rnacentral:rRNA from 1 species
UCUUCGACCUCUGAUGGCUUUUUUAUAUCCCAGGAAAAGUAUAUCCAGGAUCUUCUUGCUCGUGCUGCUCUUACUAACGAGCGCAUUGUUGAGACUCCUAUGGAGCUCAAUGUUCACCUUCGUGCUACUGAUGGUGAUCCCCUUCCUGACCCGACGCGUUAUCGUCAUCUUGUUGGCAGUCUUGUCUAUCUAGCUGUCACUCAUUCGGAUAUCUCUUAUCCGGUUCACAUUCUGAGUCAGUUCGUCUCUGCUCCCACAUCGGUUCACUAUAGUCAUCUCCUUCGUGUUCUCCGAUAUCUUCAGGGCACAAUCUCUCACCGUCUAUUCUUUCCUCGCUCCAGUUCCUUCCAACUUUAG